ACUCUCUUGUUGUUGCUGAAAGUAGUUUCUGCCUAAACCACUUUGACCGCUAUGAAGAAACCUAUCCAACGGUCCACCAUUACAAUCAAAACUUCCACCGUUUUGUGCAAUCUCUGGACUUUUCUCUUUAGGUGUGUUCAUCUCUUGACCGCUCGCUAUUAACCUAUCCAACGACCCAGCAUUACAUUCACGAUCUCGACCGUUGUGAGCAAUCUCUGAACUUUUCUCUUCAGGUAUAUACAUCUCUAGACCACUCUCACCCGGUUUGCUCUGUUUUUCACUCUCCUUCGUCUCCUCUUCUUCCUUCUUCUUCAUCUUCUCCUCCUCUUCCUUCUUCUUCUUUGUCAUCCUCUUCUUCACAGGUCUCUUUGCUGCUACCGCAGCAACUCCUCUCUUAUUAGGAGGCGGACGGGAAGCUACAUUUUCAUUGGGUGCUCCACACAAUUCAGUCUUCACCCAAUCCAUUAAACGCUCUCUAGAAGCCGUAAGCUCAUCAAGCAACGUCUCCAUAAACGUUCCAACACCGUCCGUCCCCAUAACUGUUUCAUCUUUCUUCUUAUUGUCCUCCACACAAACAGUUUUCGGUUUCCUUUUCCUUACUUGCUUAACUUUCUCAGGCUUAGUCUCAUCUUUCUUGCUCCUCCUCUUCCGGGUUUUCACAGGUUGUUCUCUAGUCACAGUUUUUGUUCCAUUAUCAAUCUGAUUCGACUCAAGAUUUGGGUUAUGAAUGAUAGGAUGCUGGGUCGAGUUUGAAUCUGGAUCAUCGCUUGAAGAAUCUUCAAAGUCGUUCUCUUUCCUUCUGAAAUCCCAUUUCUCACUGAAUCUUGGCUCAUCUCCCAUUCUUAAAGAUUCAGUCUAAUUUCACUCUGUUCUUACAGAUUGCACCUUUCUUUCAAAGAUUUUUCAUACAGCUGCAAGAAUAAAAAAACACAACAUGGAUAACUAUAAACAACACAA